UGUAAGUAGGUAGGACUUCCACCAGAACCACUGGAGAAAUCGGCGUGGAGCUGCACGGGAUUCUGAGGGGCAUGCGGACAUAAAUAAUGCACGUCGCUAAUCUGGGCUUAUCUCAGCCGACAGGACGUGUUGAAAGGCACUACUUUUAAAAAUAAACAGGCAGUGCUUAGCCAAACUCGUUCCCCGGUUACAAAAGCCUUGUUUUUAUUUUGCGCUGUGGCUGCAUUUUGCGUAAACAUAACUAGCAACGGAGACUGGAGGAAUUGCAGCCAGUUACGCAAAUGCCAGAAACACUUUGAGAACAUAAAAGAACAACAACACACUCCGGGCGGCUAUCUGGCGAUUCAUCUUCGGCUUGGGCUUGAACAAUAGUUGAGGCCCGGGGUCUUUUGGCAUGUAGCAACAGUGCCCCCGUGGGUGCGGAAGAGGAACUGCAGCGGGCGCCCGACACAGCAGCAUUUCCAUUACGAACAAAGCCAGACGAUUCACUGCCUUAGCUGUCCAGGCCCGCAGCCCUUUGACCAGGGGACCCGUUUCGUCAGAGAAAUGCCUCCAGAACAGGAAUCCCUUACACUGUAUUGUGUACAGUAUUACUCCCCAGCAGACUGAAUGGAAACUCUGAGGACAAGUGGGGCAUUUGAGUACUACCCACUGCCAGAGUGGGACAAGUGCUUCCUUAGCCAGCCCCAUCACUACCACCACAGUCCACAGACCAGGCAUGCAAUCUAGGCCAAGACUGCUGGGAUUCAAAGG